UAGCUUCCAGAUGGCCUGAAACACAUCAUCGUUUGUGCAUUUGGCAUAUUUAUCAAAAUGCUGCCAUACAUUUGAAUGGAGUUUUUUCUAUGUUUAGAGAUUUUGCUAAAGAUUUUGCCUCAUGUAUAUAUGAUUUUGAUGAAGAGGAAGAUUUUAUUUCAGCAUGGAACAUGAUGUUAGCCAAGUAUGCACUUGAAGACAAUGAUUGGUUGAGGCGCAUGUACAACAUCAAGGAAAAAUGGGCUUUAGUAUAUGGACGAAAAAUGUUUUGUGCAGAUAUGACUACAACCCAAAGAAGUGAGAGCAUGAAUAGUAUUGUGAAAAAAUAUGUCACUUAUAAACACAAGUUUUUAGACUUUUUCAGCCACUUCCAAAGGCUUCUUGAUGAUCGUCGAUAUGAGGAAUUAAAAGCUGAUUUCAAAUCAAAUACAACUGUUCCCUAUUUAAUGUUUCCAAUUGAGAUUUUAAAGCAUGCUAGUGAAAUUUAUACUCCUGAGGUAUACAAGUGUUUUCAACAGGAGUGGUGCUUAUCUCAUGAUUCUAAUCUUGAAAUUUGUGAGGAUGUUGAUACAUUUGCAAAAUAUAAAGUUACUCCUCACAAAAAGAAAAACCAUCAUAUAGUUACACUUGAUAAGAAGUGUGAAAAGAUUGAGUGUAGCUGUAGAAAAUUUGAAUUUGCUGGGAUUUUGUGUUCUCAUAUUCUGAAAAUAUUUACGUGGAAUAAUAUCAUGAAGAUCCCAAGUGAUUAUGUAUUGAAAAGGUGGACAAGAAAAGCAAAAAUUGGAUAUUUUGGAGUAAAUGAUUCAAUGGCCAACAAUGCUAGUUUGGAUCCAAAAGUACUUCAAAACAUGCGUUACAAAGAGUUGUGUGGGUUGAAUGUUCAAUUGGUUACCAAGGCAGCAGAAAGGGAUGAUACCUACAUGUUUGUUAAAGAUGCUAUGUUGAGCUUGUGUAAGAUAGUGGAUGAUAAAUUACAAGUUAAUGAAUCAAAUGUCCAACAAUUAAAUGUGAGCCAAGCAUCCAGGGAAUUUGAUUAUGGUGAAGGGAACUCUACUGGAGUAAAAGGGAUUAAAAUGAAGAAAAAAACGGUGUCAGGUAAGAGGUUGAAAGGUGGGUUAGAGAAGCUUUCAAGGAAAAGAAAAGCAACGAGGAAAACAAACCAAGCUUCAACAAUUGGUGUAGAUCAAAGUAUUUCCACCGUGGGCAGCGUACAAUGUGACCGGAUCAUUCACCAACCUAUAAAUUAUGUGCCAACAAUUGGUAGCUCUGUUGGUAGUUUCAAUAUGACUGAGACUCAAUUUCCACCAUUAUUGGCAUCACAACUUUCUCAGGUGCAAUCCCCAUUUGUGCAAUUUGCUAGACCACCUCGUGCGGAUUCCUCUCCUUAGACAGUAACGAUCUCGGAGUUUGGUUCAUUAAGAAAUUUUAGAAAUAAAUCUCUGUUUGAACUGAGAACAUCCAGCUUUGUGAACAGCUUGAUGAGACUGAGAAGGAACAAGUUAUUGGGACUUAUUUUGGCUAUCUUCUGGGCAUGGCUGAGGUUUUAGUUCAUCAUCAAGACCCAUCAAUCGAGCAACAACACUGAGUGGUUUCUUCUUAGACUUUAUGUCUGUUGACAUCUCUUGAGCUAUCAGCAUCUUCACUGGUCUUCCAGACAUCUUGCUUGAAAAAUUCUGGUCAAUGUUUUUAGUAUUUGUCCUCUUAUUGACAAUGGAGAUGUUUUUAUUAUUUGUUUGAACACAAGGUCAAUGUUACAUGAUGUUAAAGAUGUUAUAUUAGCUUGGCCUGAAGUUCAACCCAGCUGAUGUUAAAGAUGUUAAAGAUGCACAUUAUUGAUUCUAUGUUAUGUUAUAUAAUUUGGACCAUCGCAGAACUAAUGGACUUCUUGAUGCA